ACCAAUUAUUAAAUAUGUGUUCCCCAUGUAGGUACUUGCAGACUGGAACCAAGUCUACCCUUAACCUUCUCUUUGUUAAGCUAACAAGAUGGAGCUCUAUCACUAUGAAGCAUGUCUUCUAAUCAUUCUCAUGGCUCUUCUCUGAACCUUUUCCAAUUUAUCAACAUCCUGCUUGAAUGGUGGGCAUCAGAACUGAACAUAGUAUUCCAGCAGCGGUCACACUAGUGCCAAAUACAAAGGUGGAAAGUAGGUCUCAAAGUUACACAGCAAGUUGGUGAAAGAACUGAGAUUUGAACCCAGGAAUCCUGACUCCUGGUCCUGUGCUCUAACCAGCAGACACAAGCAGUAAGGCGUGGGUGCUCAUAGGACGGAGUGAUAUGGAAAUAUCUGUCUGGUGUUAGUCACAUCACCAUUCAUCACCCUUGCCAUGGAUCUCUCUCUUCACAUUUUGGGCCUCAUCAAAGGAGACAGCAUUGCUUAGUGGAUAAGGCACAGGUAUUGGACUUGAAAGACGUGGGUUCAAUUCCUGCCUCUGUUGAUCGUUUGCUGAGUGACUUCAAGCAAGUCACUUCCCUUCUUUGUGUACUUUGCUUUAGUUUCUCCAUCUGUGAAAUGGGGAUUAUGCUCCUGACCUUCUUUGUAAGGCACUUUAAGAUCUGCUGAUGAAGAUUGCUAGUAAGAACUUCUUGUUCUUAUUAUUUUGCUAUUUGCUUCCCUCCAGUUCUACAAUCAAGAUGUCAAGACAUGGAAGAAUAUAUAAAUGUUAGCAUAGGUUCAUACUAGUAAGAGGGGUAAAAAACGAGUAGACCAUAAGUCCAGCUACUUGCAAAGGCUUGUUGUUGUUUCCUGAGAGACUAUAUCCAAACUUAAAUGGAUAUUAUACUUGAUCUAAGCCAGUAUGGACCCCUCUAUACUUGGCCUCAAGGAAUCUAUAUAAUGGAAUUUGAACAUUUUUAGGUCCUUUCAGUUAACCUUUUUUUCUCCACAGUCUGUGUGCAAGAGGUAAAAAAGUGGAACCAUUAUCUUAAGUUAAUGUGGUUCUUCUGAAUACGCGUAUGUCAGAUACUCUCCUGCUGUAUAGUUUGAUGACAGCAUAACAUGACCUGCUAUUAUAUGAAAUAUGAAAUGAUGGGAGUGAAUAAUCAUUGUAAUUCUGGCUCAAAACUGAUCUAAUAAAACUGUCCUUAAGGGA